AGAGAUGUAGCUCAGUGGAGAGUACUUGCUCGAUACUUGAGAAGCCCUGGGUUCCAACCCCAGCACCACAA
rnacentral:tRNA from 1 species